rnacentral:pre_miRNA from 18 species
GACCACACGGGACAAUCAUUUUCCCGUGCAGUCGUGUUAAGUGGACCACACGGGAUAAUCGUUUAUCCCGUGUGGUC